rnacentral:rRNA from 1 species
UACGUAGGGUGCGAGCGUUAAUCGGAAUUACUGGGCGUAAGGUGUGCGCAGGCGGCUCUGCAAGUCGAGUGUGAAAUCCCCGAGCUUAACUUGGGAAUUGCGCUCGAAACUAUGGAGCUGGAGUGUGGCAGAGGAAGGUGGAAUUCCACGUGUAGCGGUGAAAUGCGUAGAGAUCCGGAGGAACCCCAGAGGCGAAGGCGGCAGCCUGGUUGGUAUCUGACGCUCGGACACGACAGCAUGGGGAGCGAACGGG